UGCAGUACUGUGACUGCGAAGACGUCCAAUUGAACUACGGCGACCUACUCUCAAGCUUUGGUGGCGACAUCUAACUUGCAUCACUCUGAAUCAUAUUCUAGCAGUUUUGUUCAUAUUGGUUGAUCAUCAGAUUGCUGGGAAAUUUAAGGACAAUUACAAUUUGGAGCUCUGAUUUUGCCUUCAUUUGAUAGUUG